AUUGAACGCUGGCGGCAUGAUUUACACAUGCAAGUCGAACGGUAACAGGCCGCAAGGUGCUGACGAGUGGCGAACGGGUGAGUAAUGCAUCAGAACGUGCCCAGUCGUGGGGGAUAACUACUCGAAAGAGUAGCUAAUACCGCAUACGAUCUAUGGAUGAAAGCGGGGGACCGUAAGGCCUCGCGCGAUUGGAGCGGCCGAUGUCAGAUUAGGUAGUUGGUGGGGUAAAGGCUCACCAAGCCAACGAUCUGUAGCUGGUCUGAGAGGACGACCAGCCACACUGGGACUGAGACACGGCCCAGACUCCUACGGGAGGCAGCAGUGGGGAAUUUUGGACAAUGGGCGCAAGCCUGAUCCAGCAAUGCCGCGUGCAGGAAGAAGGCCUUCGGGUUGUAAACUGCUUUUGUACGGAACGAAACGGCUCUGGUUAAUACCCGGGGCUAAUGACGGUACCGUAAGAAUAAGCACCGGCUAACUACGUG
rnacentral:rRNA from 1 species